rnacentral:misc_RNA from 1 species
GAUGAAGAACGCAGCGAAAUGCGAUAAGUAAUGUGAAUUGCAGAAUUCAGUGAAUCAUCGAAUCUUUGAACGCACAUUGCGCCCCUUGGUAUUCCGAGGGGCAUGCCUGUUCGAGCGUCAUUAUCACCCCUCAAGCUUUGCUUGGUGUUGGGGCCUGCUGUAAUAGGCAGCCCUUAAAAUCAGUGGCGGUGCUUCAAGGCUCUAAGCGUAGUAAUUCUCCUCGCUUUAGUGUCUAGUGGUUGCCAGCCAGAACCCCCCAAUUUUCAUGAUUGACCUCGGAUCAGGUAGGGAUACCCGCUGAACUUAAGCAUAUCAAUAAGCGGAGGA